rnacentral:lncRNA from 1 species
AGAGAUAUUCUAAAUUGAAGAAAGUGGGCUGUACCUUCCCAUGGAUUAGAGGUUAUAUACAGUUUGCUUUGGAGUGAGGCAGUGAAUUCUGGUGAGGCAUCUCCCUUUGGUCCAAAGUAAUUACUAGGGAAGAACUCAACUAGAAGCCAUUAGAAAGUGGUGAUUCUGGAGACCACAAACAUGAGUGCCUUGGAACAUCCUAAUGGAGAUCACAAUUUGAUGACCAUGGAUGAAUCACAAUUUGAUGACAAUUUGCUACAAGCAGAAAUGAAGUUUUGUAGCAGAACAAUGUAUUUUUUUGCCUUCCUUUUUCUUGCGUGUCUGACCACAGACUGAACCCGUCACUGCAAUUGUGCUGUUUCCACUUUAGUUUAUUCCCUGAUGUGAAAAGAUAUCACGUUUCGGUUGUUUCUGGAUAAACUCAAGCACUGGCUAAGCCACAGCAUGUCUUGGGGCUUUGAUCUAAGCCUCUGUCUAUGGUUCAUAAGCCUCAGAUGGUGCUAUGGUUAAAUAUUUGCAAACUGUCUAUUUUUUAUAAAACUGUUAAGUUCUAUUGGAGU